AGACCAAGGGUUCCUGCGCAACGCUAAUCGGCGCAGGGUGAGUCGGCCCCUAAGGCGAGACCGAAAGGUGUAGUCGAUGGGAAAUCGGUUAAUAUUCCGAUACCUCGUGUAACUGCGAUGGGGGGACGGAGAAAGCUAGGCCAGCCGGGUGUUGGUAGUCCCGGUUUAAGCGAGUAGGGAGUGAUUCCAGGUAAAUCCGGAGUCACAAUCCUGAGACGUGAUGACGAGUGUCCACGGACACGAAGUGGUUGAUGCUCUGCUUCCAGGAAAAGCCUCUAAGCUUCAGGUUACACCAGACCGUACCCCAAACCGACACAGGUGGUCAGGUAGAGAAUACCAGGGCGCUUGAGAGAACUCGGGUGAAGGAACUAGGCAAAAUGGUGCCGUAACUUCGGGAGAAGGCACGCCGACACUAGGUGUAGUCCCUUGCGGGCGAAGCCGAAGUCGGUCGAAGAUACCAGGCCCCUGCGACUGUUUAUUAAAAACACAGCACUGUGCAAACACGAAAGUGGACGUAUACGGUGUGACGCCUGCCCGGUGCCGGAAGGUUAAUUGAUGGGGUUAGCGCAAGCGUAGCUCUUGAUCGAAGCCCCGGUAAACGGCGGCCGUAACUAUAACGGUCCUAAGGUAGCGAAAUUCCUUGUCGGGUAAGUUCCGACCUGCACGAAUGGCGUAACGAUGGGGGCGCUGUCUCCACCCGAGACUCAGUGAAAUUGAAUUCGCCGUGAAGAUGCGGUGUAUCCGCGGCUAGACGGAAAGACCCCGUGAACCUUUACUAUAGCUUCACAGUGAACUUUGAAUAUGCUUGUGUAGGAUAGCUGGGAGGCUUUGAAACCGGGACGCCAGUUCCGGUGGAGCCGACCUUGAAAUACCAGCCUGGCCUGUUUGAGGUUCUAACUCUGUCCUGUUAUCCAGGAUGAGGACACUGUGUGGUGGGUAGUUUGACUGGGGCGGUCUCCUCCUAAAGAGUAACGGAGGAGCACAAAGGUGGGCUAAGUACGGUCGGACAUCGUACGGUUAGUGUAAUGGCACAAGCCCGCUUGACUGCGAGACAGACACGUCGAGCAGGUGCGAAAGCAGGUCAUAGUGAUCCGGUGGUUCUGUAUGGAAGGGCCAUCGCUCAACGGAUAAAAGGUACUCCGGGGAUAACAGGCUGAUACCGCCCAAGAGUUCACAUCGACGGCGGUGUUUGGCACCUCGAUGUCGGCUCAUCACAUCCUGGGGCUGAAGCCGGUCCCAAGGGUAUGGCUGUUCGCCAUUUAAAGUGGUACGCGAGCUGGGUUUAGAACGUCGUGAGACAGUUCGGUCCCUAUCUGCCGUGGACGUUGGAAACUUGAGAAGAGCUGCUCCUAGUACGAGAGGACCGGAGUGGACGAACCUCUGGUGUUCGGGUUGUCAUGCCAAUGGCAUUGCCCGGUAGCUAUGUUCGGACAGGAUAACCGCUGAAAGCAUCUAAGCGGGAAGCCCCCUUCAAGAUAAGGUUUCCCUGGACCCUCGAGGUCCCUGAAGAGCCGUUCAAGACCAGGACGUUGAUAGGCAGGGUGUGUAAGUGCUGCGAGGCAUUGAGCUAACCUGUACUAAUUGCUCGUGAGGCUUGAC
rnacentral:rRNA from 1 species